CCCAGGUUCACGCCACUUCUUCUAGUUUUUUGAGAUGUAAAGUUUGGUUGUUUGAGAUGUUUCCUCUUUUUAAUAUAGGCAUUCAUUGCUAUAAACUUCCCCGUUAGUACUGCUUUUGAUUCAACCCAUAAGUUUUGGUAUGUAGUAUUUUUAUUUUUAAUUUAAUUUAGUUUUUUCAGAGAUGGAGUCUCACUCUGUUGCCCAGGCUGGAGCACAGUGGUGCAAUCAUAGCUCACUGCAUCCUUGAUCUCCCUGGCUCUAUAAAUCUUACUGCCUCAGCCUCCCAAGUAGCUGGGACUACAGGUAUUUGCCACAAUGCCUGGCUAAUUUUUUGUUAGUUAGUUUGUUUCUGUACAGAAGGGGUCUCACUAUCUUGCCCAGGCUGUUCUAAGACUCCUGGGCUCACAUAAUCCUUCUGUCUUGGCCUCCCAAAGUGCUGGGAUUACAGGUGUGAGCCACUGCACCCAGCUGGUAUGUAGAAUUUCCAUUUCUAUUCAUCUUAAGAUUUUUUUUGAUUUACCUUUUUUUUUUUUUUUUUUUUUUGAGACAGAGUCUUGCUGUCCCAGGCUGGAGUGCAGUGGUGCAAUUAUGGCUCACUGAAGCCUCAGUCCUCCAGGCUCAAGCGAUCCUCUUGCCUCAGCCUCCAGAGCAGCUGGGACUAUCAGCAUAUGCCACCACACCUGGCUAAUUUUCUUGAUUUUCUUUUCUUCCUUUUUUUUUUUUUUAGUAGAGAUGAGACCUCACUUUGUUGCCCAGGCUGGUCUUGAACUCCUGAGCUCAAGUGAUCCUCCUGCUUUGGCCUCCCAAAGUGCUGGGAUUACAGGCCUGAGCCACCAUGCCUGGCCUCAGAGCUGUUUUUUUCUGCUAUUGGCUUCUAGUUUUAUUUCACUGUGGUCAGAAAAGAUACUUGGUAUGACUUCAGUCUUCUUAAACUUGUUAGGACUUGUUCGUGACUGUUAUGGUUUGAAUGUUUGUCCCCUCCUAAACUUAUAUGUUGGAGAUUUAAUCACCAAUGCAACAGUUUUGGGAAGGGAGGCCUAAUGGGAGGUGUUUAGGUCAUGAGGGCUUUAUCCUUGUGAGUGGAUUAAUGCUGCACUUGAACAAGCGAUUUGGAGUGGGUUCAUCAUCUUCUGCACUUUUGCCAUGUGAGGAGCAGCGUUCUUCCCCUCUGAAGGAUGCAGCCAAACUUCGCAGCACCCCAGCACCUUGAUCUUUCACUUCCCAGCCUUCAGAGUUGUGAGUAAUCAAUGUCUAUUCUUUACAAAUUAUCCAUCCUCAGCUAUUCUCAUACAGCAGCACAACAUGGAUGAAGGCAGUGGCCUAACACUACAAUUUACUCUGGAGAAUAUUCCACAUGCACUUGAAAAGGAUGUGGAUUCUGCUGCUGUUGGGUGGAAUGUUCUCUGUAUGUCUGUCAGGUCCAUUUAGUGUACAGUGUUCAAAUCAUUUGUUUCCUUAUCAAUAGUCUAUCUGGAUGUUCUAUCCACUAUUGAAAGUGGGGUAUUGAAGUCUGUUACUGUAAUUGUAUUGCUUUUUUUUUUCCUUUUUACAAAGUAGCCAGAGGCUCAGAUAUUAUCGUAUUGCUUUCUCUCUUUAGUUCUAUCAGCAUUUGCUUUACAUAUUUAGGUGUUCUGAUGUUGAGUGAAUAUUUAUAAUUGUUAUGUCUUCCUAGUGAAUUGGCCGUUU
rnacentral:lncRNA from 1 species